rnacentral:rRNA from 1 species
AACGAACGCUGGCGGCAUGCCUAACACAUGCAAGUCGAACGAGACCUUCGGGUCUAGUGGCGCACGGGUGCGUACCGCGUGGGAACCUGCCCUUAGGUUCGGAAUAACUCCCCGAAAGGGGUGCUAAUACCGGAUAAUGUCUUCGGACCAAAGAUUUAUCGCCGUUGGAUGGGCCCGCGUUGGAUUAGCUAGUUGGUAGGGUAAAAGCCUACCAAGGAGACGAUCCAUAGCUGGUCUGAGAGGAUGAUCAGCCACACUGGGACUGAGACACGGCCCAGACUGCGACGGGAGGGAGCAGUAGGGAAUAUUGGAGGAGGGGCGAAGGCGUGAUAAAGCCACGCCGCGUGAGUGAGGAAGGGGUUAGGGUUGUAAAGCUCUUUUACCCGGGAUGAUAAUGACAGUACCGGGAGAAUAAGCACCGGCUAACUACGUG